GCAGCUGCAACUCGACUGCAUGAAGCUGGAAUCGCAGUAAUCGCGGAUCAGAAUGCCGCGGUGAAUACGUUCCCGGGUCUUGUACACACCGCCCGUCACACCAUGGGAGUCGGAUAUGCCCGAAGUCAGUGACCCAACCGCAAGGAGGGAGCUGCCGAAGGUGGAGCCGAUGACUGGGGUGAAGUCGUAACAAGGUAAC
rnacentral:rRNA from 1 species